CAGAGCCAUAGCCAGGGCCGUGGUCAACCUCUGUGCAAACAGAGACUGCAGAGGGGGCAAACACUUUAAGCCGUGGGAGCUGAAGCAUGCUUUGAGGACUGCUACCUUUGAAAUAGAUGGAGACUCAUACAGAUUCAACCAUCAUGGUGACAUUAAUUCUGGAUAUGACCUUGUACUCUGGAGGAGCCAAGAUGGUGAGGUGGAUGUACAUGAUAUCGUGGCUAAGUACGACAUCAGUUCUCGCCGGUUGUUCUUUGUGGGAAAUGGCAAAGAGAAGGUCUUCAGUCAAACAGGAAAUGUAAUAUCCAGGUGUUCUGCCAACUGUCAACCAGGACAUAGGAAGGUGUCCCAAAAUGAAUGGCCUGUUUGCUGCGCUGGGCAUGC